GUGGUGGUGCUAGAAGUACUAACUGGGAAGCAACCAAUUGAUCCAACAAUACCAGAAGGGCUUCACAUUGUAGAUUGGGUGAGGCAGAAGAGAGGAGGGAUUGCAGUGCUCGAUCCUAGCUUACGAGCUCGGCCCGAAUCAGAGAUUGAAGAGAUGUUGCAGACCAUAGGAGUAGCUUUGCUAUGUGUAAAUCCAAGUCCUGAUGAUAGGCCUAACAUGAAGGAUGUAUCAGCAAUGCUCAAGGAAAUAAGGCAGGAGAUUAGAGAUCACGAGUGCUUGAAAGUGGACAUGCUUAUAAAUGGAUCUUCAGGAAAUACUCAACAGGAGAAUAGCAAUAACUCUCCAUCAUCAGCGCUGAUGCAAGAACAAUCAUAUCCUGAAAGCAACAGUACAAGCCUUUCUGCUUCUUCAUUUUUACAUUCUUCUUCAUCCAUGGCUAAAACUACAUUCAAAUAAAUUUCUUAAAUAUUUUUUUAUCCUUGCAGCAUCAUGUAUCACUAUUAUUUUAGAUAAACUGGAUGUUAGCUAGUCCAGUGUCAGAACUUUCUUGUGUAAAAUAGAAAAGCAGGCAAUUAAAAAUCUUUAUAUAUAAAGAUGGGCAAGUGCGGAGGUAGGACUUUCACCCAACGACAAAGCAAAACCAUACAGAUUGGCCUCAAAGCGGACACAGCUUCCCAAGGAAUUGAAAAAAAUUCUUAUUAAAAAUUACAUUUUAAUCCUUCAAAAUAUAAAGAAAAUUAUAUUUGACUUCUUAAAGAAAUAAAAAAAAAAAAAAAAAACGUAGAAAACUAGGAUGAUGAUGAUCCACUACAAAGUUCUGGGCAAUUACAGACGGAUUUCUGCGAUGACGAUGAUGUAUUGAUGUAUAGAUAUGAAACCAAAAACAUUAAGUUUCUUAGCUGAAAAAAGAAAAGAAAUGGAGUGGUAAUCCUUAAUACAAGGUUGUCUUCAUUUCAUACACAAUGAUGCUUUGUUUGCGUUAGAGGUUGUACUUUUCCUAUGUCUAAUAUUUUGCAAGUUGUAACUGCACUUCACUAAACGACAACAAGUCUAAAUUCGCAUUAUUUCAACGUCGUACGCAAGUGCAAAUCAAAUUAAAUUCUAGCAAUUCUUUCGUCAUAAUUUUUUUUGGCUGCUAUUAUUUUUUGUUCUUCAUUGUUAACAACAAAAUUAGAAGAAAAUAUCAAAACCAAAAUUAAUUAAUUAAUUAAUUAAUUAUGGUGUCAUACAAUCAAGCAAAACACCCAUAAGGGGACCAUGAUUAAUCUAAAAAUUUUCUAAUUUCAUGGAGUACUACUUGUUUUUUCUUUUUCUUUUUAUUUUUUAUAGUGUGGAAAAUGAUUUUAAAAGAGGGUUUUGCGUUUUUUUUUUUUUUUUUUGGAAGGCAAAGAAUUAAUAGAAAGAAUAUUAGAAAUAAAAUUAAAAAGGAUGAGACUCUACUUCUAGAAAUUAUACGUGGAAUAAGCAUACGUUACAAGCAGAUGCACAACACUAUUCGCUUACCUUUUAACCAAAAAAAAAAAAGACAUUUAAUACAUAAGAUUUUGAUGUUUGGUUAAUACAUGAAUGUUACAUUCUUGAAAUAGCUAGGUUCUUAAAACUACAUUUUUCGGUCUAAAAAGAUGGAAAUUUACAUUAUAUAAAUAAAAAAUUAAGAACACUAUUAUUUGUUAAUUUUGAAUAAUAUGUGCAUCAAAUUAAUUUGUCAAUAAAAAAAAUUUAAUUGAAUCAAUUUUACAUCUGUAGAUAAUACUUCUAGAAUAUCAGUAAAAAAAUAUGUAUAAAUUAAAAAUACUAUUAUAAUUUACAUUUUUUAUAAAUUCAUCCAUCUCUUAAUUAUCUUACACUUCAAAAAGAAAAUAUUUAUAACUCAACAUAAUUUUUUUUUUUUUUUAAAAAAAAAACUUUCUCAAGACAUCUCCCAGGAGAGGGAAAGUUAAAUUUUUAUUUAUGGUUCUAACUUAUAAUUACAAAAAGAGAAAAUAUCAUAUAUGUAAAUUUGAUUAAAACCCAUUAUCUAAAUUGCUAAAACAUUUAAACAAUUCAAUUUAAAAUCAUAUUAUACAGAAAACAUUUCAAAUAUUCUUUCCAAUCAACAAAAUUCAAGAUUUCAAAAUAGUAAUAACUAUCAAUAAGGGUUUUGUAUCAUAAAAUUUAUCCACAUUACACAUAAAAUGAAAUAUAUAUAUAUAUAUAUAUAUAUAUAUAGAGUCAUAUACUCUUGCAAAGCAGUAACGUAGUAUCAACAGUUAACUGGCACAAGUACAAAACAUUGUAUAGUAAUACUAGUAUAAUGUAAGGGGCAACCCCAAAACUAAAACUCAAAUUAAUGAUACAAACAUCCAUUUAAUUAUAUAUUUAUUAUUAUUAUUAUUAUUAUUAUUAUUAUUAUUAUUAUUAACUAAUUAACCGUCUCCUUAAUACUCUCUCUUGGCUGUUGUCAUGAUUUUGACUCAGAAAUCAGAGACUGUUGAUUGGAUUGUGCAGAGAAUCUAGGGUUUUCCAUACCAACUUACUCUUAUCACAACAUCUUGACCAUCCACUUGUCCAUCCAUUUUCAUGCAUGAAGGAGAGAGAAAGUGUCUUCUUUUUCUACUACCAUUCACUUUACCGUUUGGGUUUGAUUUGUAUUAGAAGAGGAUCCAUUAACAGUUGCAGGAGUGCUUGCAUGUGAGUUUUUUGGUGAUUUUCUUGCUUUCUUAUUCUCUGGUUUCGCUCCCGGUUGUCUCACCUUCACUCCUCUUAUCAACUGUUAAUAAUCAUAAUUAAUUAAUUAAUUAACUAUUAAUCUAUUUAUAUAUUAAAAUUAUAAAUAAAAAAAUACAUAAAAAAAAAAAUAUAUACAUAUUUGCCACACUUGACAUCCGAGUAUAUGACAAUGAAAUCUCCUUCUUGAAGUCCAUUUGUUCUCACAAAAUCUCCUGAAAUUAAUUAACAAAAUCAAAAGAAGGUUAUUACUAUAGACUCAGAAUUUAAAAGAAAAUAUCUAAAAAUUAAAUAUCCACCGAACCUGUGUUUUCUAGGAGGUACAUCCUGCUUUUGUUGUUGGGCCAGAAUCUGAAACUCCAUGUAGAAAAAUAAAAAUAAAAAUAAGAAAGUGCAGAGAAUUAAUUUUGUAAGAAUGGAAAUGGAAAAAUCAAGAAAAUCAAGAAUCAUUUAGAAUACAAAAAUACCUAUAACGCAUGUUCCAAACCCUAGAAGUCCCUAUGUCUUCCAUUGCAAUAGAAAUCCCAUCUCUUGCCUCCAAUUCUGGUAAAUGAGUUUCUGCUUCUUUCUACAAUAUUUUUUUAGAAAAAUAAAUAAAAAUUCAAAGAAAUAAUCAGCACACACACAAAAAACAAGUACCUUCGGCAACACUAUCCUCCCAAGAUUACCCACAUCACUCUGCUUCAGCACCUUUUGAAGGAGAAACCUCAGGUUCUUCUCUGGUUUCCAACCCUGAAGAAACCAAAAUGAGCAUACAUAUACAAAGACAAAAUUAUCUUUAAUUGUAAUUAUUCACCAUCUUAAUCAUAAAUGCAUAAUUACUGAGAUAAUCUCAGCAAUAAAGGCAAUCUAACAAAUCCAAAGUAGUGAACCCACCUGUCGCCUAUCUGAUGCCACUUGCCGUUGAUGAUUCUGAUGUGAUUGCAUGGCCGGUCGAUCCACUGUAUGAACCGGCGGUGCAUCCAUAGGUAGAACAGGCGUGGUUGAAACAGCAACACCGCCGACAGCUGCAGGCCAGUAAACCCAAUUACCGGGAUUAGGCGGCUGAGCUGCUGGUGUUAUAUUAUCACUUCCAAGCCUUCCAUGGUGAUCUAUUACUGUAUUCUGAUUUUGAUUCUGGUUUUGUUGGUUAUUGUUUUGGUGAUUGUGAUUUCUAUGAUGUGACAUAAACCUUCUUUGUCUAGCCAUUCUCUUCUUUCUUGCUUCUUUGGUAGCUGAGGAACCCAAUCUCACCAACGUAUCACCGACUUGGGUAGGGAGAUACUGACAUGGGUAUUGAUUUCCAUAUCCGCUAAAUACAUUCGGGUGCGUUGGUACCGGCUGGAGAUUAUUAUCUGGAAAUGGUGAGUAAUGAGAAGCUAAAGCAAAUUGUGAUGCGGACCAAGAUUGAGCAGAAUCAAGCAUUUGAUAAUCUGAGGAUGAUGGCGGUUGCGGUGGUUGUGGUGGAGGAUAAGAUUGGCCAGCCAUGUUAGAAGCUCCAUUAACAAACGGGUCAGCCAUGUACCCAACCAUAGGUUGAAAACCCUGCAUGCCUGUGGCUGCCGGGUCGGAAAUAUAAGGUGGAGGUGCAAUCCAAGGUGAUUGAGAGAAACAAGGAUUUGAUUGAUCUGGCUGAAUAGAAUUACUACAAUUCAGAUUAGGGUUAGGGUUUUGCAGAGGGUCUUGAGAUGAUUCUUUCAUCCUCCUUUUUUGAAGAUGAUUAGUUUGAACCCAUUCAAGAAUCAACUUCAACAAUUGUUUCAUAGCUGCUUUACCACCACCCAAACGCUUAGCAGCACACUCUAUAGUAGCUUUCUUGAUUUUGACUUUUCUUAAGUCUUCUGCAGAAACAGUCUCUUUAUUGCUCUUUAACCACUCUAAAAACACCAUUGCUAGAUCAUCUGAAGCUCCUUCCCCUGAUUCUUGUUUUUGAGUCACUUCACUUUUUGUUUCCAUUGCUAACUCUUCAUUUCUCUGUUGCACCUGCAGUUCCUGUUGCAGAUUCUGCUCUGUAUUGAACUCUUCCAAGAAAUUUUCAUCAGCUUGAAAUAUCGAAGAAGGAUCCAAAAAAUCAUUGUUUUCGAUCAGAUCCAUGUAACCGAAAUUAUCCAUCAUGCUCAUGCAACCAACACCAACAUCUUGAUCAGGUGGCUGUAAGAUCUCCAUUGAAGCAGUAGAAGAUAAGGCAGCUGCGGUUGGUUCCAAGGGAUCAUAUUGACCCUGAUGAUUAUGAUAAUGAUGAUGCUGGUUAUGAUCAUGAAUUUUUUUCUCCACAUCUUCUUCUGCGUCUGACUUCAAAACUGCCCAGGAAGCGGCGGAUGACGAAGAAGAAGCUGAAGAAGAAGAUGAUGAUGAAGCCAUGGCCUUGACCGGUGCAGGAGUUGACGAAGAUGAAGAAGAUGAUGACAUGCAAGGGAAAUCUGGUAAAGCAGGGUAAUCAUCAUAAAAGAUCGAAGAAUUAUUCACAUCUAACAGAUCUUCUUGUUCUCUUUCUAACCAGAUUUCUCUUUCUUCCUCCAUAGCAUCAACAGUCGUACCAAAACCAGUUGUAGGGUUUGUUACAUUUUCAUGAUCUUCAACAUGCAAAUGUAAACCCUUCAUUUUUUUGCUUAAUUUUUUUUUUUUUUUUAAGAAAAAGCCCAAAAAUAGUAAUAAAUAAAAAAAAAUUGCAACUUGGAGAAACCUUUUGAGUUCUGUUGUUCGCAGAUAGUUUCAGAAAGAGAGAGAGAGAGAGAGAGAGAGAGAGAAGAUAAUAAAGAGAGAGAAGAAGGGAAGGAUAGGGGAUUCCUGUGUACGGAUAAGUGCAAAGAGAAAGAUUGUAUCCGAUUAAGGAAGCAGAAGAGAGAAAGGGCCCAUUUGUAAAUGUCAAUUACUCAACAAAAACGCAACAUAAACCAUCUGGGCAUCUUCCUUUCUAUCUAAACUCACUUACUGUAUCAUCUAUCAAUAUCACCGCCUCCACCAACAAUGGAUAACAUAAACAAAUACCCUCCUUAUAAUUAUAAUAAUAUAAAUAACAAUUAAGAAAGCGACGCCUCUACUCUUAAUGCUGUUUUUAACAAACACAGACUACGCAUAAUAUUAAAACCCUAAAAUUGUACAGAAAACCAUACUCAGCUAGCCAGCAACAAUGGCGAUCGAGUUCAACCAAUCAAAGAUAGAUCAACUUAAAGAGUGAAAAGGGUAAGCAAGAUGAGCAAAUAUGGAGAAGCCCACAUGCUCAAAUAAACCCCCCAUGUGUGUUCUGGUUUGUUCCAUGGAUGUCUAAUUGCCAUUUUCUAACCUUCCUUUUAACUUUUCUUCAAUAAAGUUCAAAUCAGUAUUUUGGGCGUUUAUGCAGAAUUCAAUUAACUAAGAGAGAUGGGUAGUUUUAGAGAUAGAAAGAGAAGAAAAAACAACAAAAACAAAAGAAAAACUUCCCCGUGCCGCUGGUUUUUCAGUCCUAUUCCGGAUUUUGUGCCAUCCGCCAAACGUUCUCUCCUUAAUGGAGCAACCGAGCGGUGCCUCAGCCUUUUCUUUCUUUUAACUUUAAUGUCUAUGUCAAUGUGAACUUAAAAUACUGCAAUGAUAUUUACAGUUACUUCCAAUUUCAAUUUUGUCCAUUUGCUGCUAUCUAAGCAAAGCAUACAUCCAACCAAAACUUGAUUAAUUAAUUCAAGAAAAUUGAGAUAUAUAUUAGAAUUGAGUCAACUUUGUGGGGAAUUCAGCAAUUUCGCUUUUUUAAGCUAUGGAUAUGUAUCAUCUAUCUAAAGAUUGUAUUAUUAUUGAAACAUUAUCGAUUCUCUGGAUGUUUAUGUUCUUCUGAUAUGUACUGAAACUUGUUAGAGUCACUUUAUAUCAUCCAUAUCAAGUUGAUGAAAAUCUAAACUAAAGCAUUAUAUUUCAUAGUUUGUGAAUCAAUCAAUCAAAAACAUAUAUAUAUCUCGUGUUGUUUAUCCGUUUAUUACAAAAACAAACAAUCUAUUUACUGAUAGUUUGAAAUUGAAAUCAAAUUACAUCCUUUAAUUUAUGAUAAAGCGAUUGAAGGAACUAGUUAAAAAUUUGAAAGGUAUUAACCUAUGUCUUGUUAUGAUCAAAUGAUUAAAGGAAUUGUCUAAAACAUUAGAUGAAAACUAAUAUUGUUUAUGUAUUUUAUUUGCACUUGAGAAUCAGAAUAGAUAUAGAGAUAUACAUGACAUGCAAAAGCGAUACUUGAUUAUCCUUUUCUUUAUUGUUUUUUGUGAUUCUUGAAUGCAAAAAUUUUAAUUUUUAUGUCAGGGUUAAUUAAAGUUUUUAUUUUUAUUUUACAGCAUAAUGCUAAUAUUAUUAAUUUACUAUGAUAACAAGAACAAUGUAUACAAAUAGUUAAAAGUUCAACUAUCCUACAAACUUUUAACUAUUUUUAUAAAUAUGGCAAAUUCUUUUAAUCGAAUUGAUAUCAUAAAAUUUUGAUUUCUUAACAAUUGAGGUUUGUUACUCUGCCGUUUAAUUCAAAUGACGUGAUUAUUAAAUUCAGUAUGUGGGCCUAUUUCAGACACGUCAGUCAGAGAGAGUAGAUGCUUAUAGAGCAUAGCUUUUCAAUUCUCGAAUAUUGUGGCUGACUGUGGUCUAGUUGAUCUAGGAAUGUCUGGGUACCCUUUUACUUGGGCUCAUGGUAGAGGUCAACACCGGGUAGAGAAAAGAUUAGACAGAGCUUUGGGAAACAUCACUUGGCAGAAUCAUUUUCCUAAUUAUCAAGUCCAGAACUUAGUCUCAAGUAAGUCUGAUCACUCUCCUCUUUUUAUUCUCACUUCUCCCAGAAUUGAAAACCAGCGACAUCAACGUUUUCAGUUUGAGAAUAUUUGGCUAGAGGAAUCUGAUGUAGACGCUGUGGUAAGAGAGAGUUGGACUAGUCAUGAGGGUGUUGAUGUAACGGGGAAGAUAAAAGUUUGUGGAGAACGCUUACAGAGCUGUGGUAGGAGCUUAAAGCUUCGGUUUAGGCAUAAUGCAAAGAAGUUGACAGUGCAGCUUGAAAAUCUUCGAAUCAGGGGUAAUAUUGAACAGUUUGAAGAUGUACAGCGUAUGCUUGAUGAUGUUCUGCACCGUGAAGAGGUUUUCUGGUCUCAAAGAGCGAAAUCUCAUUGGUUAAAAUCGGGGGAUAUGAACUCUAGGUAUUUCCAUGCAACUGCUAAGAAACGGAAAAAGUUGAAGCAGAUUUUUCGGUUAAAGGAUGCUAAUGGCGAGUGGAUCAGUGACAACAAUUUGCUGAAAGGUAUGGUGAGUGCUUAUUUUGUUAAUCUAUUUGAGGCCGGGGAUGUUGACUUAAGUCCUGUUGUGGGUUUAUUCUCUCCUUUCGUUUCGGAUAAUGACAACUCUCGUUUACUUGGAGAUAUUUCGGUGGAUGAGGUACAAUUGGCUGCGAAAUAAAUGCAUGCAGAUAAAAAGCCCAGGGAUGGAUGGUCUAAAUCCUAGAUUCUACCACAGGUUUUGGGAUGUUAUGGGUCACGAUGUUGUCAAAAGUUGCCGAGACUGGUUCAAUAUAGGCAUUUUUCCUAAUAAUGUGAAUGAUACCUUAAUUGUGUUGAUUCCGAAAGUAGAGGACCCAGAGGCAGUGACGGAUUUUCGACCUAUUUCACUUUGUAAUGUAGUUUACAAAGUGUUUGCUAAGGUUCUGGCGAACAGACUGAAGACCAUUCUGCCUAAUCUUAUUUCAAUAUCUCAGUCGGCUUUUGUCCCGGGUCGGUUGAUCUCAGAUAAUGUGUUAGUUGCUUUUGAGUUAAUCCACUCUAUGCAAACAAGAAUGAAAGGUCGACAAGGAGUCUCUGCAUUGAAAGUUGAUAUCUCAAAAGCCUAUGACAGAGUUAAUUGGUGUUACCUACGGGCUGUUAUGCAGGGGUUGGGUUUUAGCCAGCGUUGGGUUGACUUGAUCAUGCUGUGUGUUUCCUCUGUUAAAUACUGGGUGGGAGUGAAUGGGGAUGAGGUUGGCCCCAUUAUUCCAGAACGGGGGUUGAGACAAGGUUGUCCAUUAUCACCCUAUUUAUUUAUUCUCUGUGCUGAAGGACUGUCAAAGCUAUUUAGUCAGUCUGAACGUGACGGUCGCCUCAAAGGCUGUAGAGUCUCGAGAGCUGCUCCUCAGUUAUCUCACUUGCUAUUUGCGGAUGAUAGUCUGUUCUUUUUUGAGGCAUCAUGGACUCAAGCUCUAGAGAUUAAAAAUAUUCUAGUUACUUAUGAAGCAGCUUCAGGUCAAACGGUUAAUUGGCAAAAAUCUGGUAUUUUUUUCAGCUCUAACACUUCUAAGCUGGAUAAGACUGCUGUUCAAGGGGUAUUUGGUGUGAUUGCUCCUUUAAACCACGGAAGGUAUCUCGGUUUGCCAUCAUUAAUUGGUAGGGUAAGGAGACGGAUUUUUUCUUUCUUGAAGGAUCGAGUGAGGAAGUUGGUCAGGGGUUGGAAUCAGAAACUCCUCUCCAAAGGGGGUAAAGAGGUUCUAUUAAAGGCUGUAUCACAAGCUAUUCCCUCAUUCUGUAUGAGUUCUUUUCUUAUACCGGUAUCUAUUUUAACGGAGCUUCAGCGGCUCAUGAAUUCCUAUUGGUGGGGAGGAAAGAUGAGAUGGUUGAGUUGGGAAAGGAUGUGUGUAGCGAAGGAAGACGGAGGUUUGGGUUUUAGACAUUUGCGAAGUUUCAAUCUGGCCUUGUUAGGAAAGCACUGCUGGAGGCUUUUACAUAAUACAAACUCUCUCUUUUAUAGCUCUUUCAAAUCUAAAUAUUUCCCUAGUGGGAAUUUUCUUGGUGCAGGCGUUGGACGUAAUCCAAGCUUUGUAUGGAGAGGGAUUUGUGUAGCCAAGGAUGCUAUAUGUUCAGGUUUUCGGUGGAGAAUCGGAGAUGGUCAGUCAGUAAAUGUCUGGACCGAACCGUGGCUAUUACAGGAUAAUCAGUUUCGGGUUCACUUGCCUAUUAUUUCUGGUUUUGAGCAUAUACGGGUUUCUGAUCUUAUUUUGGCACACGAGGCACGUGCUUGGAAUUUGCCACUGAUACAUGGUCUUUUCGAUCCUUCAAUUGCUGAAAUUAUUACUUCUAUUCCUUUAGUUACAAAUGUUCAUGACGACAUCCUUAUAUGGCAUUGGACAGACUCUGGGAUAUACUCUGUGAAAUCUGGAUACAGAUUAGUAGCGUCACAAUAUGUGGAUCCUGAAGAUGUUUGGCGGUCGAGUUUUUGGAAAAUUCUUUGGUCACUGAAAAUUCCGCCAAAAGGGAGGCAUUUUCUCUGGAGGUGCUGUCGAGACAUUCUGCCAGUUAAAGCAAAUUUGGCAAGAAGGGGACUGGAGCUUGAUACAGGAUGCGAUUACUGUGGUAAUACUGAAACGCUAGUUCAUGCUCUUGUUGAAUGUCCACGAGUGAGCUUUUGUUGGCAAUUUUUUGUUAUUCAGCUUACUACUUGGAAUUUUCCAACUUUCUUACAACUGGUGGAACAUUUACACAAGGUGUGGGAAAACAAAUUUUUUGAAAGUUUUGUUAUGGGACUUUGGAGUGUUUGGUCAAGCCGUAAUGAGCUGAAAUGGAAUCAAGUGGAAGAAGGACCUUAUCAUGUGGUUACUCGAGCCAGAAGUAUGCUCGCAUCUUGGAAGAAAGCCCAGCUGAAGUCGUCAGGUUCAAGUACAGGUACAGAUGCUCCUGUAGGUAGUCGAUGGUUUCCACCACCUGUUGGUACUAUUAAACUAAAUUUCGAUGCCACUCUUCUCCCUUCUAUUGGCCAUGGAGUCGUUGGUGCUGUAAUUUCAAAUUGCAACAGCGAGUUUGUAUCAGCAGCAAUGUCCUCACUGCAAGGUUGUUCUUCUCCAGCAGUAGCAGAAGCUCAGGCGCUAAGAACAGUGUUGUCUUGGUUGCUAUCGAGCUACCCCAGCCUGAAGAUUCAGAUUGAGACCGAUUGUCUGCAAGUUUACUGUGCUAUGAGGAAUUCUGUCCAAGAUUGGACUGAGUUUGGAGUAAUUAUUUCUGAAUGUAAGCUAUUAUUAGUCCAAUUGUCAAAUAUCACAUUGGCUUGGAUUAGAAGACAAGCAAAUGAUAUAGCUCAUAUAUUGGCUAAAUCAGUUCCUCAUGGAGCUUGUUUUCGAACUUGGGAUAUUGUUCCCGCUUGUAUUGCUCAUUUUUUCUCUUAAUAAAUAAAUGACCAAUAUUAAAUGUCAAAAAAAAAAAAAAAAGCUUUUCCUUAAUCAUUUUAACAAGUAUGGCUGUGUUUUUUAUGCUGCUUUUAUAUGCUAAUUGCUAUUUUUUUACGGUGUCUUAUAAUAUAAUUUUGAAUUAGUUUUAAAAGUUUUUACGGUGUCCCAUAAUAUAACUUUUCAACUAGCUUUAGAGUUUAAGGUAGUCUUUUGUGAAAAGUUAAUUCAUAUAAUGUUUAGCUUGUAAUAUUUAAUUAAAAGCUACUAAAAUAGCUAACAGCUAAAUGCUAUUAAAACAGUUAACAACGCCCAAAAUAAUUAAUUUUGCCAAACAAAUCCAAGCACAUUCAUGAAUUCUAGAUAGUAGAUGAAUGGAGGCUACAAUUGUUAAUAUAUAAAUAUAUAUAUGAGAUAAAAUUAAAAGAAUUUAUUAAAAUUAUAAAAAUGGUCAAAAUUGAGAUUUUAACCCUUUAUUAUAAAAGUUUUAAUCAAUUUAAUUAUAAUUAGUAUCAACUGAAAAAAUUAUUUGGUUUAUUAAUUUCUAUUAUAUAUAAAAUAUAAAGCAAAGUAUAUAUAAAAGAGAGGAUUUGUAUUCUAAUUAAUCUAUAAUUAGAAAUUUCGUCUAUCUCAAUUCUUUUAAUCUGAUUGGAAUCAAUAAAAAUUUGAGAAAAUAAAUAGUUAUAUGGCCUAAUAAUGCAAUUUGUGACUUGUUACAAUCAUAAUAUAUUUAAUUUUUUGAUAAACAUAUAUUUUAAAAUAAAACUUAUACUAUACGAUUGAAAUUAGGAAAAAAAAAAUGAAUUACAACAUUCAAAAUUCAAGGUAUUUCACAUCUCAAAGUAUUAAUUCCAACCUAUAUUUAAAUAGGGUGUAAUUAUAAUAAUAUUAAGAGCUUUGCUAAAUGUCACAAGUUGUUAACACAAUUAUGCGCAUUUACAAGUACAUCUUUCGUGCAGCAUCAACAAUAUCUAAACUGCUGCUAAAAUAUUUUUAAGGGUAUUACAGUAUUUUCAUUUAUGUUAGAUAUGUCACAAGUUGUGCUAAAAAUACUUUCCGUAAUAUUAAUAGGAUGUAAUUAUAAAAUUUAAAUUUCAAAAUACUUUUACACCUUAAAACAAUUAACCAAUUUUUGAAUCUUUCUUCUAAUUUAUCCUAAAAAAUUUUAACUACUACAAUACUAUAGUUAUCAAAGAGAAACGACAUAUUGAUUUCUAUACACAAUUACCAACAUUACAAGUAUUUUUCCAUCUGUGUUGCUAUAGCGACAAAGUACUAAACUUAGGUAAGUUAGAAAUUUAGAAUAUGUAAUUAAAAGAAACUAUUUACCAUUCAAAACAAAAGGCAACUAUAAACUAAAUAGGGUAAUUCAGUGCCAAAGAGCAUUAAUAGGAUUGAUCAUUAUGGUUCAGGUCAUGGAUUUAAUUCUCUAUAAUACAAACUCCUCCUUAUAGUUUAGGUCAUGGAUUCAAUUCUCCGUAACGCAAACUCUUCCGAAUCAGCUAUUUUGCCUCCAAAAACGAACAAACACAGUUCUAAAUAUCUUGUGCAAAUAUAUAUAUAUAUAUAUAUAUAUAUAUAUAUAUAUAUAUAUAUAUAUAUAAAGGUACUAUGAAUUAUUAUUGCGGCAAUUUUUCGCUUAAUGAGGCUAGACUGAUAAAGUUUAAAUUCUUUUACAAAUUUCAAUAACUUUAUAGUUGUCAAAAGGCGAAAAAUAUAAAUUAAUUAAUUAUUUUAGGGUGUCAACUGUCAAGUAUUAAUCAAAUUUUUACAUUUUAUAGAUGCAAUCUAUUUCAAUUAUAUAGUGCAAUUAGUCUAAAGUUAUUAUUUAUUGAAAAAAUUUUGUGAUAAAUUACAAAUUUUAGGGUAUUGUUAUGUUCUUUUUAGUUAUCCGAUAAAGUGUAAAAUGUAGUAAAAGAUUAAUUUGAAUUGAUAUCAAGUAAUAAGUCUAUAACAAGAGGGAGGGAUACAUAAAAUUUAAAUUCAAUAAAUCUAGUUAGGUAAGAAAAUAUGUUAAAUUAAUAUAUUUGAAUUUAUCUAUAUUCAUGAUAUAUGAAUUUACUUAUAUAUUAAAUUAAUUAAAAAUACAAUUUUAAUUGUAAUUAGAAUAUUUCUGACUUUUAUUGGGAGAAAAAGAAUAUAAUAGAAACACUAUUUUGGAAAAUCCUUUAUAAGGACCGACUCCAUAUAAGUGGAGCACAACGAGACGCGCAUAUAAUUUAAUUUUUAAUUAAAUAAAGCAAAAUUGCGGAAGGGAAGGAUCAGAUACAGGCGGUAGUUCUCUACCACUAACCACAUUCUCACUCUACAUUUAGACAAAAUUGUGGGACCCAAGAGACUGACAACGUUACAAUUUAGGUUUCACAAAUAAGCUUUGUCCGGAUUCGUGGGUUAAGCGGCGGAUGCUCCAUUCUACUCUCUGACGUAACCCUUCUUAAUCUGCCAAUAACCGCGCUCUUCUAUUUCAACUCCCGUCUUUAUCCGCUGCCUUCUUUUAACAUUCACACUGCUCAACAAGCAACGCAUCUGACAGACUGCUUGUCUCCUCCCACGUGUACUCGUCCCUCAUCCUGGCGAGAUUCUAUUGGUAGUUACGGUUUUCUGGAUUCCGUACAUUAUACAACAGGUUUUUGUAGGAUUUUCUUAGAUAGUGCGUCUUCACAUGGCUCUGGCCCUUCACUGACUUUUAUCUGCAAUCAGAUUUUGCCACGUCUGCUAUCCUUAUCUCAAUUCGCGUUCUGAUCGUCAUUAAUUUUCUUUUAAAAGGAAAAAAACCAUAAUAAUUCCUUUUCUAUUUUCUUUUUUUUGACCGUUUGGUGAGGUCGUGGCCACACCAGGCUGGAUACAGCCUAUAGAAAAUAAGCCUGCAAGAUUAAAUGGCAUUUUAUUUUCCUAAAGAUAAGCAAAGAAUUCGAAAUUUUUAAUUAUGUAAUUCAUUUACGAUUUUGAAUUUUCUUUCUAUUUGCACAAUUUGGUGCAUUAUAGAAGGACGUGGCAUUAAUUCCACACACUUGUAUAAAAAAAAUAUUUGAAAAGUAAAUGAUAUAUUAUUAAAAAGUUGUAAUAAAUAUAUUUAUAUUUUUAGAGAUUCAUUGAGCAGAGAGUAUGGCGGAAUGGUUAAAUAGUUGGUAGAAUAGAAAGAGAGAGAGAGAGAGAGGUAAUCGUCAGCUUUGCUGACUCGAAACUAAAGCCCACAUGACGAGUGUGAUUGUGUGCUUUCCUGAUGUCAGGCUCAGUUCUCCACUCCGCCUUAUUAUUGGUCAAAAAGAAAUACUCUCCUUCCACCAUUUAUUUUCAUUUGAUAACUUCAAUACUUUAAUUAAUUAAAUUUUAAAAAAUUGUCCUGCCACCACCAAUAAUGGUGUCUUGACUUUGGACUGGUGACUAAACUAGGGAGGAGACCACACAAUUCCAUGUCUCCUAUAAUAUUGGGCCUGAAAUGGGACGGACCAUACCAUUUGGGCUUGACAGAAUAGCCCAGCUUGAUAUAUACAAAUCUAGCAAGUACACUACUUUCCAUAGCUUCUUUAAGCACAUUUCCUUCUUCUGGAAUCCCCAAAAAAACCACACCAAGCAACCAUCGAAACAAAUCGCAAGAGUAUUUUAACAAUGGAUCAACUGAUCUUCCUCGUUUAUCUCUAACAUCAACAGACCUUAAUUACCGUGAAACUAGCUAUUCACAACUACAUUACUUUCUCCGAAUUUCACGUUUAAAUACGCUGCGUUUUGAGAGAAGAAAGAAGGAAUUUGGAUGGUUGAUAACUUGACAUGAAGAGGAGAGUAAAAAACGGGUGAGCAAACUCUCUGACAAAGCAUUUAAACUCAGCUGCACACUACCCCUUAGACAGCCAAUUGUACAUACAGUACAGCAACCUCUCAUGUGCCAGUAAUAAUAUAAGUUAAUAAGCAAGGAAGCAAGCUGUCAUUCUUAUGUAGCACAUGCCAAACAGUCAAACAUAUUAAGUUGGUUGGACAGCUUAAGGUCGAUGUGAGAGAUCUACCAUUUUUCUUUUUACCUUGCUUUAAAUUAUAUACUACUAUUAUUCAAUUAACAUUGAUUUUGAUAAUCACAAAUUUAUGCCAGUUGCCCUAAUGUUUAGCGAUCUCCCAUUUUUCUAAUUUUACCCUUUUAACAUUUUCAACUUUUAUUUUUGCAGAUUAGACACUCAACUUGAUUAUAUAAUUACAUCUAUUAAAUAAUUUAAUUAGUAAAAUUAGACUAAUUGAACACCUACUUGAGUAAAACAACUCGCUGAACUGAGUUGAAAACUGAACCAAUAUUGUUCAAUUUAUUAAUUAUUGGUCCCCUGCUCGUUAGACACUUGAAAAUUUUAAAUGAUUAUUUCGAAAUUUAUAUUAAUCAUACAUAAAAUUAAUAUUUGCAUGUCAAAACUUAAAACCCAAAAAAAUUAUUAUUAGCGGUGCACAAAAGUGUACAAUAUUACCGAAAUUCAUAAUUUAGAAACACAAUAUGCCUCUUAAAGUUGAAAUUGAUGCAAAGUUAAAAUAAUGAAGUUUAGAAGUAAAUUAUGUGUUAUGCCACAAACUGACACAUAUGUUUAUAAACUUACGGGUAUUUUCAACUUUUUAUAUUAACCUAUUUAUAUCCUUCAACUGAGAAAAUUGCAGCUAUUGAUACCUCCAUUUAUAAAAUUACAUGCAUUUUACAUGUUUUUCAAUUAUCAAAUAUAAGUUCAUAAGUGCAAAACUUCGUGCAUUUUUUAACAGAAAUUAUUGAAUAGUAUUUUCUGCACUUUUUUAAUCUCCAAGAAGUAUAAUUUGAUAAGUGAAAAUAUUCUGUAAGUGUAAUUUUAAAACUUAAUUCAUAUAAUUUUAUAAGCUGAUAGAUUUGCAAGGUAACAUAUAAAUUAGAGUCCACAGUAGAAUUUUUUUUCCAAAGUUGACGUUUCGAUUUAAGCAUUUGGCCUUUUUAUCUUGUUAUAAUUACUUUCGAUAGAGGUCAUGUGUUUAUCAUAAAUUCUCGAGACAAUAUAGAGCUACCUCCAUUCUUGCAGAAGCGAACUACCUUAUGGUUUCAUUCAUUGCAUUUAAUACAAAAACUAUUCCUGCAUCUUUUAUCAUGCCUAUAAAAGGACCCCCUGAUCAAAUUUUCAGACAACUACCACUGGUCUUGCAACAAACAGAGAUGGCAGCAACGGCAAGGCAGUUUUCUUGCGUGCUUUUUCUUGUUCUUGCAAUUGCUCAUGCAAGUGCAAGAAAUACGCCUAAAGAAACUGCAGGUCUCGAUGAUCAAAAGAAUGUGGUUGUAUUUGGCGGUUUAGGUGGCUUCGCUGGUGUUGGUGGUGGUAUUGGAGGUGGUAUUGGUGGUGGUCUCGGUGGUGGUAUUGGAGGUGGGCUGCCUGAUCUCGGUGGCACAGGCGGUGGGAUUGGUGGAUUAGGUGGUUUGGGAGGAGAUACAGGGAGCGGUGGAGGUCUUGGUGGUGCUAUUGGUGGUGGUGGGAUUGGCGGUGGUCAAGGUGGUUGUGCUGAUGGUGGUGCUGGCUCUAUCCUUAACCCUUGAUUCCAUUUCAUGGGAUUUUUUAUGUUUAGUGUUUCUGUUGCAUGCAGAUGCAGUUAGUACAUGUGUUUAGUUACUUUUCUGUUUUAUUCACUGUUGAUUUUUUUUUCCCUUUUCCUUUUUUUAGUAUUGUUCGCUGUUUUAUUGUUUUGGAAUUUUAUUAGUAAUAUUUGCCAUUUCUUUACUAAAAUAAUUAUCAAAUUACUUUCACAGUUUGUUCUUAAUUAAUUGUGGAUCAUAAAUAAUUUCAAUUUUACAACAAUGUCUUAACUAACAUAAUAAACAAUCUUAAUCUCGUAAGAGUGAAAAUAUAAAUUUAAUAUAGAGCAGCAGAAUUCUAAUAAAGACAAAACUCUUAUGCGCUAUGCUCAAAAGAGAGUUUAUUCACGCAAAAAAUGGUGAAACAACGGCUCCUAUAUAGUUUUACAACUAAAAUGAUUUAAUUUGAUAGUCAAUUCUGAUUAAAGGAUACGGGAUCUUUGCCAUUCCAUAUCACUCUUCAGAGGUAAAUGAUAUGGUUCUUGAAUUGUCUAAUUUUAGCAAGUUCAUUGGAACUACUAGUUAAUUAACAGUCAAUUCUGAUUAGAGAAUUUUAGAGACGUAUUAAUAUUAAGAUAUGUUUUCAAACGGUUUAAUUAAUGGAAAUAUAUUGUAUAUGUUUUCAAGUAAUUUUUACUCCAAAGAUUAAAGGAUCCAAAAUUUUAAAAUCAUAACUUUUAGAAAUAUUUAUUUAAAUAUUACUCAUAACCGGAUGUGAAUUGUUCUAUAUAUAUUAUUAAUUUGUUGUUGAGCUAAAAUGCCCAAUAUUUUAUUAGUUGCAAGAAGGACCGGCAACCCUCUAAUACUUCAAGAAUAAAAAUUUCAAAUACAUCAAAAAUGAAAAUAGUGAAAUAAAAAACAUAAUGAUGUGAUUUUAAAAUAAUAUCUAUUGAUAUAAAAAUAAUUGUUUUAACAUUAGAAUGCAUAUAUUAUUAUUGAUAUAUUUCUGAUAAAUGUAAUUUGAAUUUAAUGGAUGAUACGAUCAUUUUUAUAUUAUAGUAAACCGAGGAGAAGAUCCAUCUCCUACCUUUCCUUUCCUUCCAAUAAUAUACAUAUCAGAAAUGAAUCAGAUUCGUACAUUAAUUAUUAAUACAUUGGCUUGGCUUCCAACUACUUGUCAUUGUUCAAUGCCUGUGAAAUUUAAAACUUCUCUGCUGCUUUCAGACUUUCAGUUGGCAUGUCUUCAUCAUUUUCUUUUUUUUUUUUUCAAAAAAAAAAAUUUUAUUAUUAAAUUUUUUUAUAUAUUAAUUAAAAGUUCUUUGAGCAAGAGCCUAAGAUCGAGGUGUCUCUCAAAAUUUGAAAAUUUUCUAAAAUAUAGUACUAAAAAUAACAAAUAACAGGCUUAGCUUAAUGAAAUGUGAUACCUAUAAUAUAUAAAAUAAAAAAAAAACCAAAUAACAUUUUUUUGGGAAAAAAAAAAGGAAAUUCGAAGGAUACAUAUUAAGGGUUAAAUAAAAAGAUUGGUAAUAAUAAAGUAAUUAGGUUAAUAGACUUUCUUGCUGUAGCUUAUUAUGAAAAAAAAUAAUUGAUAUAAUUGAAUUUUUAAUUUUUUUUUUAAUUCAUUGGAGGUUUUUAUAGGCCGAAAUAAUAUUGCAGGUUACAAAAAGGGGUAGCCCUUUCCUUGACUCACCAAAUUGGUGAAAACAACUAUAGUCGAGAGAAUUCGAACUCGAAAUCAAUCAAAUCACCACCUGAUCGGCACAAUUGAACUUUUAAUUGAAAUAUAUAAUUAACUUGAUUUGAUAUUAUAUGAAGUGUUAUUGCAUGAUAUUAUUAAUUUUUAGAAUCUUAAUUAUUGAAUAUUUAAAUUUGUAGUAUGAGAAAUUAUCAUAUUCACAUAUAUAUUUUAUCUUCCAUUUCUUUGUCUGUGUUACUUGUCGCAGCAGGAAGCACCAAUGCAUGGCUCACAAUCUGCCACUAAUUUUCCCUCUGCUAAAUUAUAAAUGCCAUUAAUUCUGGCUGUUGAUCUCCCCGUAACAUGUACUAAAGAAAAAAAAAAAAAAAAAACUCACUUUACAAGAAAAAAAGGAUUAAUCAUGGAUAUACCAUUUACUUGUAUUUAACUCCAUUUACUGCUUUCAACCAUUCCAUACUGCUUCAUUUGCCGCUCCUUUUGCCUUUAAAAAGGGCUUCACAAAAACACUUUGAGAUAUCCCUAGAGAAACAGAGGAGAGAGACAGAGAAAGAUGGCUAGGUGGUGUCUUAGUGUUAUGGUUGUGCUUGCUUUAGUAGCUGUGCAAACUAGUGCUAGAAACGUUCCUAAAGUUGAAAAUAUGGCUACUACCAAAACUAAUGUGCCUAGUAAUAAUGCUGGUCUAAAUGACCAAAAGAACUUCCUCACCUACGGUGGUGUUGGUGGCUACAGUGGUCUUGGUGGUAAUGGUCUUCCAUUCGGCGGGGUUGGAGGACUUGGUGGAGUCACUGGCCUAGGUGGCACUGCCGGCAUUGGUGGGUUUGGUGGAGUUGGUGGUGGAAGUGGUCUUGGUGGCCUUGGUGGCUUGGGUGGUGGUGUUGGUGGUUUGGGUGGCGUUGGCGGUGGCGGUGGCGUUGGCGGCGGUGUUGGCGGUGGCGUUGGCGGAGGCGUUGGCAGUGGAACUGGCGUUCUUCCUUAUCCAUGAAAAUAUUGAUCUCAUUUCUGGUUUAUAGCCAGGGUUUAUGAAGAACUCUAUUUUUAUGCAUGGUUAUUAAGUUGGUUGUGUUUGAGGGUUUAUGUAAUGGUUUAAUUUUAAUUACUUUAUGUUUUGCUUGUUUAUUAGGGUUAGUUGGGUGUGUCUCUUUACUUUGAGUUCGAGAUUUUCAUUGUCAUGUUUAUGUUUGAGUGGAUCAUAGUUACAGAAACUUGAGUUUAAUUAAUGAGUUCAUGUUUAUUAUAUUGUGUUCGUGUUUAAUUUUUUUUGGUUCAGCUAAUUUUCAUUUUAAGAUACAUUUUGAUAUGAUUAAAAACAAC
rnacentral:lncRNA from 1 species